rnacentral:tRNA from 1 species
GGGGAUUUGGCUCAGUGGUAGAGCGCUUGCCUAGCGAGCGCAAGGCCCUGGGUUCAGUCCCCA